UCUCAGAGAAUCAGAGAGAGGGUCAACACAGCAGGUCCUGGGACAGGUAGCACGUCCGGUGAACAGGUCAGGGUUCCAUGGCCGCAGACAGAACAGCAGACACUGGAUCAGCAGCACGACCAGGUGGAAUGGGAACGUGGACAGCCAGCUACCACCCAGGACACCAUCGCGGCCUGUGGAAAAGUAUUGUUUGCAGGCCCUCCUACAACCAAAUAGAGGAUAAUCAAGUCCGUAUGAAAAAAACCUCUUAUCAGUUUGGUUUAUAGGCUAAUGAUUUACCUCAAUCCUGAUCGAAUUAUCAAACACUUUCACUUUCACUGUAUAUGCGUUCUAUAAAAGCUGCAUGAUUUGUAGACCACUAUUCAAGAAGAGCCUGAAACAUCUCAAACGAUUCAGCAAGCAACCUGCCUGCCCGAAAGCAUCCACUCCUUCAAGAUACCAGCUCAAAAUGAACUCAAGUGUUAGAGAGUUCUGGUUCCAGUCCGGUCCGGCCAAAAAACAGGAGACGCUCCACUCUUCAAGAACUGAGGAAAUAAAGGAUCUCCAGACUACAGUGAUGAGGGAACCAGUGUAUCUGAUUGAGGCGACUCACCAAAGAUUGCACAAUUCAACCGCCCUCGGUUAUGUCCAGUCUGACCCAGCCGUUUCUACAGUGAUGAUGGAGGAACCAGUGUGUCGGAUUAAGAACGACAUCGCUCGUGUGUUUGCGCCCCUGGAAGAGGCUUUGAGUCAUGGAUCCUAUAUUCACCCAGGGGGUUACAAAGACUUCCAUGACAACCUACAGGAGCUAACCAAGCAAUACAGAACAGAGAGAGGCAGGGGAGUUAUGAGUGAGGAACUAUUGAGGGG